UGAGCAGGUGAGAUGAGACGGCAGGAGCUGGGGAGGGAUGCAGUCUUAGUUCUCCGUCUCAAUCAGAAUUCUAGGAUGGCCUCCAUGAUCUCUGCCCCCAGUGCUGUGCCCAUGAUUAGGCUGCAUUAUAUGUCAAAGGAUUUAUUUCUGUUAAUUGCAGUGCCCCUCCCUGCUUUCCCAAAGAAAUAAUCACUACAGUGCAGAGUACAUCCCAGGAGUGCUGGGGCAGAAACAAGUUUGCAAACUUCUGGGCCGCCGAGAUUUUGCUCUGGGAACAGAGCCGAGGAGAAAUGACAGCGCCAUGUGGACGAGAGGUCCCUGGACCGACCUCAGGACAUCAGCUGCCCUCUCGGGGUCUCAGUUUUCCUCACCUCUCUUAUGAGGGAAUGGGACUAGAUAGUCUCUAGGGUCUUUAGUUAUAAAUACACAUGAGUCUCCUAAAAAAGAAGCAAUGGACCCAAAUCAAAUCUAUGGUUCGAUUUCACUUUCCCCUCUGCUAUUUCCACCUCUCACGUGGUUGGAGGGGCCGGGGCUGCAUUUUGUGGAAUUUCCCAGUAUAAUUUGCCACAAAAAGUGUUUGUACUGGUCUGGCCCAAGGAAUUGAAGGCCUCCUUCUGCACAGUGCAGAGUGAAGGGUGCUGGUACUGCCUCUUACCUUGGUUUGUAGCAAGGCUCCUGCCUCCGCCCGGUUCUUUUCAACAUCUCUCUCCCAGUGAAUUCUGAUUGAUUCAAGGAUGUCUUCCAGA